rnacentral:rRNA from 1 species
AACGAACGCUGGCGGCAGGCCUAACACAUGCAAGUCGAGCGCUGUAGCAAUACAGAGCGGCGCACGGGUGAGUAACACGUGGGAACGUGCCCUUUGGUUCGGAAUAACCCAGGGAAACUUGGGCUAAUACCGGAUGAGCCCUAACGGGGAAAGAUUUAUCGCCGAAGGAGCGGCCCGCGUCGGAUUAGCUAGUUGGUGGGGUAAAAGCCUACCAAGGCAACGAUCCGUAGCUGGUUUGAGAGAACGACCAGCCACACUGGGACUGAGACGCGGCCCAGACUCCUACGGGAGGCAGCAGUGGGGAAUCUUGGACAACGGGGGAAACCCUGAUCCAGCCAUGCCGCGUGAGUGAUGAAGGCCCUAGGGUUGUAAAACUCUUUUCGGCGGGGACGAUAAUGACGGUACCCGCAGAAGAAGCUCCGGCUAACUUCGUGCCAGCGGCCGCGGUAAUACGAAGGGGGCUAGCGUUGUUCGGAAUUACUGGGCGUAAAGCGCGCGCAGGCGGUUCUUCAAGUCAGAGGUGAAAG